rnacentral:ncRNA from 1 species
AAGCUAGGGGUGCGAUGACGCUGAGAAUGGCACAGGCCAGAACCCUCAUCACUUGAACCGGGUAAUACCGGCGUAAGGAAGC